rnacentral:rRNA from 1 species
UACGGAGGGUGCGAGCGUUGUCCGGAAUCACUGGGCGUAAAGGGCGCGUAGGCGGCCACUGCAAGUCAGUUGUGAAAUCUCCGGGCUUAACCCGGAAAGGUCAACUGAUACUGCAGGGCUAGAGUGCAGAAGGGGCAACUGGAAUUCUCGGUGUAGCGGUGAAAUGCGUAGAUAUCGAGAGGAACACCUGCGGCGAAGGCGGGUUGCUGGGCUGACACUGACGCUGAUGUGCGAAAGCCAGGGGAGCGAACGGG